rnacentral:piRNA from 1 species
UGCCNCUUUUUUUCCUCAGCUCCCAUUUGU